AAAAGAAGAGGAGGAGAUAGAGAGAAAGCUGCAAGCAGAGAUGGCGCGAGUCGUGCGACAGAGGAGACAAGCACAGGGAGCGGAGGCAAGUAAUGCAGGCAAGGAAUAAAUGGGUAGAAAACAAGCCCAAGGAUUCAGAUCAAGAACCGGUUUCGUCUCUGCUUACGCCGAGGAAGCUGGCUGAUUCCAAAUCUGCCUUGGGACAAUGUGUUUCUUCGAGUAGCACUCGGUUGUUGUCUGUGCUUCUUCUUUUGAGAUCCAUGAAGCGCCACUUGGCGGUGGAACACUCGUGGGAGAAGAACAAGUUAGGUUGGGUCAUUUAAGAGCUGGCAGUCCAAGGUCUGGAGUGGUGUUCUAACCUGCAUGCGUGUCUGCUGCCACAAUGUCAUUUGUCUUUUGUUCUAUCUCAAGAAUUUAAAGGAUGUAUUGUUCUAUAUCACAGUGCAUACGACAUGGAGGAUGAAAUAAUAAUUUUGAAGCUGCUUCUCUUGUUUUAA